UACGAAGGGGGCUAGCGUUGCUCGGAAUCACUGGGCGUAAAGCGCACGUAGGCGGAUUGUUAAGUCAGGGGUGAAAUCCUGGAGCUCAACUCCAGAACUGCCUUUGAUACUGGCGAUCUCGAGUCCGGGAGAGGUGAGUGGAACUGCGAGUGUAGAGGUGAAAUUCGUAGAUAUUCGCAAGAACACCAGUGGCGAAGGCGGCUGACUGGUCCGGAUCUGACGCUGAGGCGCGAAAGCGUGGGGAGCAAACAGG
rnacentral:rRNA from 1 species